GGUUUCUGCGUCAUUUUCAAACUAGUUAUUUUUUUUUUAAACAAUUCGCAUCUUUGACACUUGCCACAAUUGAAACUUUUUCAUCAGCUGUGCGUGGUCCUAUUUUUCAAGCUACAAAAUAACGAUUGUGAACUGCCAUUCAUUUAAAAAUCGUAUUCAUAUGCGUCAUUUUAUAUCAUUAAAUUCAAAGGGUCCAGUGUAAAUAAAUGAUUUUAUUGUUAAAUUAAUAAAAUAUCAGAUUGUGCAAUUUAUUUCGUAAUUUAUUUUUCACCCUGUUUCUUUUAAUAUAGGCCAGAAAUCCUUUGUAUUGGCUUAAGUAAUUUAUUUUCAUUAUUAUAUAUAUGUAAGUGAAACAACAUUAUUUUCUUGUAAAUGCCUAAAACUCUUUUAUUCGUAUUUGAGAAUUAAAGUUGAGGAGUCGUUCCAAAACUAUUGCAACGCCAUAUUUCUUGCUAUACGAACGGUUCAACCAAUGGUUCCGCCCUUCGAUAGGCUUAAAAAAAUCACCUCCCUUUGUUUUGCAAUAGAAUCGAAUAUCCUCGUCAUUUUUUUUUUUUUUUUUUUUUGCUUCAAAAAGUUACUUUUUGUCUCCGGAUAAAAAAUGUAGGCGGCUGUAUAUUUAUAACACCGUAAGCCCUUCUUGUAUUACGAUGCAACAGUUUGGUGAUAUAAUGAGCAUUUAAAGCAUUAGGAAGACUUACUUCAAACCCACUAUAUUCUAUUUAAAUAAUAGAAGGUGCUGCUACAAAACCUUGGAACUUCCAAUCCCGUGGUAUUAUAAUGACGAAAACUAAUGGGCAUGUCUCAUUUCCGAUUUUUAUCUUGUAGUAAUGUAAGUGUUAUUUAUAUGAAAGGCUCCAAUUUAGUCUUCCUUGCAUUGAUUAUUCAUAAAUGUCUGUAAGCCGUCUAAUGAAUUACUAUGUCCACUAAAGAGUUAUGGUCAAUAUGUAUGAGUCAUUCAUAACAAGACAAUUUAUCAGCCCCAAUAAUAUAUUCAUCUUUUAUAUAAGAUGAAAAUUGGUCAUGAUUAAUUUUGAUGAUUCUUACAGUUACGAUUUCCAAUAGGUAUAGUUUCUUUUCUUGAAUUAAUCAUGUGAAAAGACAGCUAAUAACUAACGGUGGUCGACCUUCUGCGAACUUUUGCAAAACAGACUCGUAAAUUUAUGUAAUAAUUAGUCGGGAAGAUAUUAUUGAUAUUUACUUGUUAGGGCAUAAUUUGUUUGAAUGAAAUUUGUAGCGCUGUCUACUUUCCGCUGAUAGCAAACUUAAACUGAAAUAUCGUUUACGACUAUAAUAAUACAUGUUCAGUUAUAUUUCAAACUUUCGUUUUUUAAAUUACUGAAAGUUAUUUGAUGUAUACAUUUAUUAAAUUCCUCACUUUUACUACCGCAACACACAAUUUAACCCGGCCAGGAUUCUACUUUAACACAAUUUCUUGCUUACUCACUUCCAUGUUGCAUGACUGCAUCUUUUGUUAGCGAAUUAUUAUUAAUUUUUGUCGAACAAAUCAAGUUUACCUAUUUUAAAAUCCAUGGUCAAGUGAGCUGAAAAUUUUAAUAAUAACUACCCUUUGUCACGUGAUUAUACCUCCGUGCCUAGUACCAUUGAAUGAUGAUAGGCUUUGUUCUCCUGUCCAUGCUUUUUGAAAUUUUAAAAUUAUUUGUUAAAUUAUUAUUGUUAAUCUUAUAUUGCAAGUCACUGACAGUAUCGCCUAAUCUAAAUGCAUUUUUAAAAUUUUAAAAUGCAUUUUGAAAUGUUUUUUAUUUCAUUUUUGUUCAGGUGACCAUAUAUUUAAUACAACACCUUUAAAGUUGACUUUUAACUAAUUUGAUAUCUUUGUAGGGGGUCGUUCAGAAUGAUAAGAAUACUUUGAUCUAAACUUUUAAUUCCAAAUGCAAUGAAAGUGAGAUGGGUUGGGUUUUUUUUUUUAUAUUCAUGAAAACUUUAAAAAAAAAUUAUAGCAUUUAUAACUACUAGUCAAUUUGAAAUAAUGUAUUUGGAGAAAAGUUGUGUUUUAAUACUUUGUUUUAUGAUUGUAAAAAAAUACCCCAUGACAAACCAGUUGUUGUUUUAUUGUUACCAUCUUUCAUAUCUAUCAUUGACCCUCUGUCCAAACUGGCUAUGUAAAGAUUGACGUAGACUAUAGCUAUGGACAGAUACCAUUGUUGAAUCAUGGCAUUAUGUAAAUGUUUCAGCAUUGUUUUCAUAAUCUUAUCCAAAGAUGUAUUUAUUAUUAAAUGUUGAGCUUAAAUAUCAAAUAUGACUUUUUGUAUAAAUUUUGAGGCAACCAUCUUGUUAUAUAUUUUGAUAUGUUGUUAUGUAUUAAACUUUAUUUAUUUCAGUAUUGAGAUUACAAAGCAUUGAUCAUUGGUAAUAAAAAUAUCAAAUAC
rnacentral:lncRNA from 1 species